rnacentral:rRNA from 1 species
CACGUAGGGGGCAAGCGUUGUCCGGAUUUAUUGGGCGUAAAGAGCUCGUAGGUGGCUGAGUAAGUCGGAUGUUAAAUCCCCAGGCUCAACCUGGGACACCACCCGAUACUGCUCUGGCUAGAGUCCGGUAGGGGAGCGUGGAAUUCCUGGUGUAGCGGUGAAAUGCGCAGAUAUCAGGAGGAACACCUGCGGUGUAGACGGCUUUCUGGACCAUUGCUGACGCUGAGACACGAAAGCGUGGGUAGCAAACAGG